UACAGAGGUGGCAAGCGUUGUUCGGAAUUACUGGGCGUAAAGGGCGAGUAGGUGGCCAUCUAAGUCAGACGUGAAAUCCCCCGGCUUAACCUGGGAACUGCGUCUGAUACUGGACGGCUUGAGUAUGGGAGAGGAACGUAGAAUUCCAGGUGUAGCGGUGAAAUGCGCAGAUAUCAGGAGGAACACCGGUGGCGAAGGCGGGUCUCUGGGCCGUAACUGACGCUGAGGAGCGAAAGCAUGGGGAGCGAACAGG
rnacentral:rRNA from 1 species